CGUCCGUCGUGGCAAUUUUCUCCCGCUACCCUUUUUGCCCUUUUUCUUCCAACCUCCAGCUCCCGCGUCUUUCCACUGUGAGAGAGAGCUUCUGAUAUUCUUGUAUUCCUUUCGCCGCCGCUGCCGCCGCCGCCGCCUGUGUGACGCAGAUGUCAGUUCCAGCCGGAGACCACCUAAAGACGCCCACUCUGGACAGGGAGUCCGGCGCCCUCCUCCAGGAAAUCGCGGCGCACGGCGGGUAUGCCUACGCUGCCAUGUCGGCCCAGGCCGCGGCCGGCGACAUGCGGGCGGCGGAGGCGUCGCGGGAGAUGGCGUGGGAGCAGCUCCACUCCGGGCCCUGGCACUCGGUGCUGCCCAUCUGGCGGGACGCCUACUCCAUGGCGUGCAUCCACGUGGCGAAGUUCCACUACCGGGACGGAGACUUCAAGGAGGCGCUGAGGGUUCUUGACAUGGGGCUUAUCAUGGGAGGGACGCUGUUGAAGAAGGAUUUGGAGUCCGCCGUGGAGAAAAUCACCGUGAAAGCGAGGGAGGCUAGGGUUUCAGAAGGCGAGCACAAUGGUGUCGGUAAGAGGCUGGUUCAGGAGGACAUAGAUAUGGAGGAGGUGCUUCGGAUUUUGCCUUUAAAAUCUCUUUUUUCAAAGAUUGUGGCGAAGAGGUCCGCCUUAUCUUUGGAGGGAUUCCUUCGUGAAUUUUUCCUGUCAGGUUCCCCGGUCAUAAUCAGUGACUGCAUGUCUCACUGGCCAGCUAGAGCGAAGUGGAAUGACCUGGAUUACCUGAAGAGUGUUGCUGGUGAUCGCACAGUUCCAGUUGAGGUUGGAAGGAAUUAUCUGUGUAGUGAUUGGAAGCAAGAGCUUAUCACCUUUUCCCAGUUUCUUGAGCGAAUGCAAUCUAGUGAUUGCCCUCCUACCCUCCUCACAUAUCUUGCACAGCAUCAAUUGUUCGAUCAGAUAAGUGAGCUUCGGAAGGAUAUCCUUGUUCCCGACUAUUGCUUUGCUGGAGGUGGAGGGCUAAGGUCUGUAAACGCUUGGUUUGGUCCAGCUGGCACCGUGACACCACUGCACCAUGACCCGCACCACAACAUUCUUGCACAGGUUGUCGGCAAAAAGUAUGUGCGGCUUUACUCUUCUUCUUUGUCGGAGGAACUCUACCCGCACAGUGAAACAAUGCUUUGCAAUUCCAGUCAGGUAGCUGUGUUGCUGAUUUUCUGCUUAUUGUCGAAAGAAGGGCGCUGCAUGUAGAUGUUUACAACUAUAUAUGGUGAAGAUGUGGAUAGUUUGGUUUAGUUGUGGAGAGUUGAUUUGGACAACAUAGACGAGAAGGAGUUCCCCAAGAUUGUGGACUCGGAAUUUGUGGACUGUAUUCUUGAGGCAGGCGAGAUGCUUUACAUCCCACCAAAAUGGUGGCACUACGUGCGUUCUCUAACAGCAAGCCUCUCAGUCAGCUUCUGGUGGAGCAACCCCGAGGAUUCAACGGACUCAUGACAUGGGUAUUCUGCUUUAGUAACCGUAUCAUUCUUUCGACGUAGGUUACUCAAGAAAUCCCACACUACAGCUGAUAGAUUGCUUUUUACCAAAUGAUUGAUCAUGGUGCUCUCACUACACUGCAGCAGUUGAUAUGCUCGUGUAUAUAGAUCUUCUAUUAGUACUCAGUUAUACAACAUGCGUCUGUCGUGUGUGUCUACCCACUACUUUCAUGCGCUAGCCGUGGCUCGAUUAGUUUUCUUUCUUGUGGUGUUAUAAUAGGGUUCACUGUAUUAGACCCUGUGACAUCUAAUAUGAAUAUAGAGAUGCUCUUUCCAAUUAUUCUCA